CACACGCCCAGUCCGGCAACCGCACGGGAGGUCUCUCCCCCUAGACUGUGCUCCAUGGGGUGGACCCAGGCCUUGUGCUGUUUUUACUUAUAUCCCCCAUGGAGACCAGAGCUAGGCACAGAGUACAGCAGCACCCCAACUUUCAGCCGGUUACCCAUACAUCUCUCAUGUCAUUAAGAACAAUGAAACUAUAGCACACACACAUUCCAGUGGAAAAAAAUAAUUUUCAAAGUUCCCUGGAGUUCGUUGCAGUGGAAUCCAUGGCCCAGGAGGAAGAGGUUUAGUUCAGCCUGGAAGGAGGGCAUCCCAUCUGAGCCGAGACCUCUUUGAGGGUCCUUGUAUGUCACCUGCUGUCUGUCGCUGGUUCGCCUUCUGGCAUCUUUGAUACCUCCCCAGUCAGAGACCUCUGUUUGUGCCAAGAAGUCAUCUGCUGUGUCUUCAAACAAGACCGUAGGAGGCAGAGCCUCUGGUGCUGGCACAUCGCAGAAGCUAAUACCUCGUCACCAACGGAGUGAAGAGACCACGGCUUUCCCCUUUCCUUCCUGUAUUCCAGCUUGCAUGGAUGCCAGCAGAAUUCAAUCUAAAGUGGAAAGAGAAAAGUAAACAAACCUGAGAACUUUCUGGAUCUCUGCAGAGCUGGGCACUUUGCCAGUACAGGUUUUAUUGGAGGGAAGUGGUGGGUUGCUUCCUCGUGUUCCCAUCGCACAGGCUGGAGUAAACUAGCUCCGUAAGCAGGCUUGCCUUUGGCCGACAGAUGACAACGUGUCUGCAUGUAGACAUAGACUUUACAAAGGGCUAGAGAUGGCUGGUGGUUCUCAUGGGGAGAUGGCCCUGAGGCUGAUCAGUGUCAUUCCAGUCAAAGGGCUGCCUCUUAGGGGCACGUGACAUCCCCCAGCACCCGACCUGCCCGGACAACCAGCCACCAGGCAGACAGGAGUGAGGGGGUGAACGAAGUAUGGACUGAAUCCACAGCCUACCUGGACAACCUCACCACGAAGACAGGAGUGAGGAGGUGAACGCAGUGUGGACUGAAUCCACAGCCUGCCUGGACAACCUCACCACGAAGACAGGAGCGAGGGGGUGAACACAGUGUGGACCAAAUCCACAGUCUGUCUGGACGACCAGCCACCACGCAGACAGGAGCGAGGGGGUUAACGCAGUGUGGACCGAAUCCACAGUCUGUCUGGAUGACCAGCCACCACGCAGACAGGAGCGAGGGGGUGAACGCGGUGUGGACCGAAUCCACAGUCUGUCUGGACGACCAGCCACCACGCAGACAGGAGCAAGGGGGUUAACGCGGUGUGGACCGCUGUCAUGGCUCACAGCAGCCUCAACCUCCUGGGCUCCAGUGAUCCUCCUGCCUCAGCCUCCCAAAGCACUGAGACGAACAUAGACGCAGGCACACAUGCACACAGGCUGUGAAAUGUAUGUCUCCAAGUGGCUGCGGGCCCCUGAAGGGCUGCUGCAGCCCUGGGGCUUUGCUCUUCAGAGCCAUGUCGAGGGAGCAGUAGCGGGAGCCACAUGUGACCCCCAGAUCCAGACAGAGACCACUUCCAGCCCCCAGGAGGCCCACACUCCCCUCCACUCCACAGCGCCCCCAAAGGUGCCCACGUCUCUGACCCCCACCCUGGGUGAGUAGGAGCACGUAGCAGGUGCCCCUCACGUGCAGCUCUCUCAUCCACACAUACUCACACAUGCUCACACAGGAAAGCACAUGCCCGCUGUGUCCUGCUGCAUUGCUGGGCAGUGUCCACUGCACGUCGCUCGCUGCAUUGCUGGGCAGUGUCCGCGGCAUGUCGCUCUCUGCAUUGCUGGGCAGUGUCUACUGCACGCCGCUUGCUGCAUUGCUGGGCAGUGUCUACUGCACGCCGCUCGCUGCAUUGCUGGGGAGUGUCCGCUGCAUGUCGCUCGCUGCAUUGCUGGGCAGUGUCCGCUGCACGCCGCUCGUUGCAUUGCUGGGCAGUGUCUACUGCACGGUGGACGCUCCUGCACUCAUGGAUGCUCAGGCUGCUUCCCGUUGGACGCGAUUGUGAGUGACGCUGCUGUGAGCCUCCAGAGUAAUUAAAAAAAGCAAUCUUCGUGUCAGCUCCUCCCUGGCAGACUUAGCCUGCCAGAGCUAAUGAGACAGGCCACCCUUCAGCCAACCUC
rnacentral:lncRNA from 1 species